GGCAGACGCACAGGACUUAAAAUCCUGCGGGACUAAUCUCCCGUACCGGUUCGAUUCCGGUCGCCGGCA
rnacentral:tRNA from 1 species